rnacentral:rRNA from 1 species
AUACGGAGGGUGCAAGCGUUGUCCGGAUUUAUUGGGUUUAAAGGGUGCGUAGGCGGUUUGAUAAGUCAGUGGUGAAAUACUUCAGCUCAACUGGAGAGGUGCCAUUGAAACUGUCAGACUUGAGAAUAGAUGAGGCAGGCGGAAUUUAUGGUGUAGCGGUGAAAUGCAUAGAUACCAUAAAGAACACCGAUAGCGAAGGCAGCUUGCUAGACUAUAUCUGACGCUGAGGCACGAAAGCGUGGGGAGCGAACAGGAUUAGAAACCCCGGUAGUCC